rnacentral:rRNA from 1 species
AGUGAACGCUGGCGGUAUGCCUAACACAUGCAAGUCGAACGGCAGCACAGUAAGAGCUUGCUCUUACGGGUGGCGAGUGGCGGACGGGUGAGGAAUACAUCGGAAUCUACUUUUUCGUGGGUGAUAACGUAGGGAAACUUACGCUAAUACCGCAUACGACCUACGGGUGAAAGCAGGGGAUCUUCGGACCUUGCGCGAUUGAAUGAGCCGAUGUCGGAUUAGCUAGUUGGCGGGGUAAAGGCCCACCAAGGCGACGAUCCGUAGCUGGUCUGAGAGGAUGAUCAGCCACACUGGAACUGAGACACGGUCCAGACUCCUACGGGAGGCAGCAGUGGGGAAUAUUGGACAAUGGGCGCAAGCUUGAUGCAGCCAUACCGCGUGGGUGAAGAAGGCCUUCGGGUUGUAAAGCCCUUUUGUUGGGAAAGAAAAGCAGCAGGUUAAUACCCCGCUGUCCUGACGGUACCCAAAGAAUAAGCAACGGCUAACUUCGUG